GCUUGCAUGAGUUUACAUAUAUCCUCUCACUUAAUGAUCACAAUCCUGUGAGUUAAUUUGUGUUUCCUUUCUUAUGUUACUGUAAGGAAAAAAGCUUGGAGAAAUUGUGUGCCCAGGGCCACAGAACAAGAAAGUUGCAGAGAUGGAAACCCAGACAGGCUCCUCGUGGUGACCUCCCAUCCUAUUGCUGGCUCUCUGCUCUUUACUGCAACCACAUGUCACUUGGAUACCCCGGAGAGCGGCAGGAAAGCAUCAACCAGCUUCCAGAACAAACACCGUCCUGUCGACACCUUGAUCUUAGCCCCAGAGACCCAUUUCCAACUUCUGACUGCCAGAAAGAUGACAAUUCAUCAUUGAAUCCCCCAAAAGCAUGCAUCAAGGUGGUCUUGCCAUAUGUCAGAAGAAACCCCCAGACUCUCCUGCCUAAGUGCCUUACCCUGGAGGGAGAAGGCUGAAGUUCAGGUGAGACCCACAGCAUGGCUCUGCCCCAAGACCCAGCACCAUGCAAGGAGUUGGCAUUAGGUGAAUGCUCAGCAAAUGAAUCUGUGUGUGAGCGUGGAAUCCUGAUGGCACCACGCAGCCUCUUAAAAUGUGGAGCAGGAAUGCCGAGGCUCUCUAUUCCAAGAGAUAAGUAUCAAUAACAAGAAGAUGAAUGGCAACAGCAGCAAUAAUCGUACAUUUCCAGAGCCCUUACUCCAGGCCAGACUUUGAGCUGAGGGCUGGACAGUGCCAUCUAACUGAAACACUACUGGCCCACAGCUGUCACCUCCCAUUUCCUAUCCCAAAGGACACUUGGAUGUGAAAUGGAGAGGGGGUUUGGAAACCCUAGGAUUGUCAGUCAAGGAUGGUAACAUCCAGGCAUCUCCAUCGCUGUUCCUUCCCCUCAGCAUACCCUGUCUCUGUCUUGUUUUGGAGCAUGAUACACUUCAGGUGUCACCCACUCUCUAGUAUCUUCCCCAAACCCUCAGAUUCGGAGGAAGAGGGGAUUCUGUGCUUCCAAUUGUGGGUGGAUUCAGCCUUUUAGAGACUUCAAGAACUGGAAGAUGAAAGAUGGUCACCCUCCAUGUAAUUAAACAUAGAAACAAAAUCAGACUCAAGAGAAGUAAACAAAAUCCAAUGAAGUUCAGCUUUUCCCACGAUAAUGACUUUGAUUUGUGUUUUAAGUUGCUGUCAACAGAGCUAUUUGGAGUAGGGGGAGGGAGAGAUGCUUUACUGAUAUCUGAAGCCCAGAUCUUUCUGCCUGUGAUGCAACCUGGCACCGGCUCUGGGGCAUCCUGUGCUUCCCUCUAUCACAGGCUACAUGAUGACUCAUACUGGGAUCUCUGAUUUGCUGGUGUCUGUCUGUCCACUUGUUUGACACCUCUUGGAGGGCAGGAAAUGGUAUGCCACACGGAGUUGGACACAUAGAAGGUGCCCAAUGAAUGCUUGUGAGAUAAACGAACUUGCUCCUGUAGAACGUCGUCUCAAUUCGCUGGUGUGUCCCACCCUGGAAACAGCUCCUCAUAAACUGGUCUCUUUCUCUCUCUCUCCCUCUGCCACCGUGUUAAUAUCUCAAAUGAUGCUAUCUGGUGCCUCGUGUCUCCUGCUAGAGACAACGCCUUCUCCCAAAAAGUCCCACCCUUUUUAUGUCUGCAGAGGCAAGUUGGGAGAGGCAAAGCUGAUCCUCUUUGAAGCUUGGAUUUUUUUUCUAUCAUUAUAACUUGAGAAUAUUUUUAUGUCCCUCUUGCCAAACCUGAAACUUGGUGUCAGAAUUGACAGUGAUCCUCUGAAAAGUUGAGCCUGAACUGUCUCCAGGAGUACGCCUGACCACUCCUAACAACACGUUUCCCAAGCAGCAAAAACCUACACCUAGUCCUUAGGGUAGGAGCAGCUCUGGAGAAUGGUACAGAAGCUUCUGACAUCACUUUUUGCCGGUAUUGUGAAAGAAACAAAUUAAC
rnacentral:lncRNA from 10 species